rnacentral:snRNA from 1 species
GUGCUUGCUUCGGCAGCACAUAUACUAAAAUUUGACCCAUACAGAAAAGAUUAGCAU